GGUAGCUACAUAUCACCAAGUUUCCGUGGGAAUCACUCCUGCCUCUCUCUCUGAUCCAAACAGGGUCCGAGGAAGCAAGUCCAAGUGACUCAGGGCUGAACAACCUCAAGCUCUCUCCUCUUCUGAUAACCAAGGCUUCGGUGUUUGAACAUGUGAUGUCUGACUUUUACCCAAGUUCAGCUCUUUGCUAGAAGGAUCUUCUUAGCACCGUAAUGGAGAUCGAUUUGUUCAGCAGAUACCUGAACUGCAUGUGUAGAUUUUCUCAGCGUCAUGCAGAGAGCCCAUGCACGUAUGUGAAGCCAGGUGGACCACUGCCAUGGAGAAGUUCCAUCCAUGGUUUCACGAAUAUCCCUGAAGACUUGCCAGUGUGCUUGCUGACGAUGAAGUUCAUGGCGAUAUCGUCACAGUUUUGGGUCUCGUCGAUCAGCGUGUGGACGGCUGCAGGCUGUUUCUGGAAGAGGUCCAGGUAUUUGCUGUGGAAGAAGGAGGCUCCGAUGAGCACCAUGGAGUACUGGUCGCCGUUUCCAAGCCCAGGAGUCUGCAGCUCAAAGCCUCCGUAACUGUAGAUACCGGAGGAAGUAGAUACGUGUUUUCUAGGUACAAAUCCUACGAUCUGAUCCGGAAAUUGCUGAAAAGAGAAAGAAAGGAGCAGACAUAGACAGAGAUGCUUAUGUAUUACAGAUGGUGUAGCUGGUUCGUCAACUUUCCCUUAUUCUUUAUUUCUGCAUUUUCCUUAUUUUUUCACUUUAACUUUCCCAACUCUAGACAGUGUUUGUCUCAGGCUAAGCUUACAGCUUAAAUUCCAUCACAACCAAAAACUCUCUGAAAAAUUCUUACCUUACAAAUAUUCUCCCACUUCUAGCAUCUGAUUCAAACAAAUUUUAAUCCCCAGGGAGUCUAGUCCUUCAAAGUUUUCUCUAAGAAAAGUUGAUCAUGCUGGUGUGUGUGGCAUGUACCCUUAAUCUCAGCACUAGGGAGGCAGAGUCAGGAGGACCAGAGGGUCUAUAGAAUGAGUUCCAGGACAGGCAGGACUACAUAGAAGAAACCCCCUCUCAAAAAACCAAGCCAACCAACCAAAUGAACCCCAGACCCCCAAAACCAGCAACAAUAACACAAAACGAAAGCAAAAAAAAAAAAAGAAAGAAAGAAAGAAAGAAAGAAAGAAAGAAAGAAAGAAAGAAAACUUGCUGUCAAGAAUAUUAUUAUAGGAGAUAGGAGGUAAGUGAUCCUGGUUUUCUUUUUUGAGACAAGGUUUCUCUGUGUAGCUCUGGCUGUCUUUGAAAUCUUUCUAUAGACCAGGUUAUCCUGGAACUCACAGAGAUCCACCUGCCUCUGCUUCCUGAGUGCUGGGAUCAAGGGCUUGUGCUACCACCACCCAACUGUAGAAUUUUUUUUACUGCUUUUCAACGUUGAUUUUAAUGUUCUUAAAAGUCAAUAUUGAUUUUAAACAAUAUUUUAUCCCUCUCAGAUUUUUUUGAUAGUUCUUUUAAAUGAUAUGUAUUCAAAUGCUAAAUACUGGCUCCCAAGAUCUGGUUGUAUAUCAGCCUUUGUUGUGUAAACCUUGCUUCUAAAUCUAAAGCUACUGGUUAAAUUAAAGUGGCUACAGCCAAUUACCGCAGAGAAUAGAGGUAGGUGGAGUUUCAGUUACCUGGCUGGGAGACACAGGUAUGGACCACAAGGAGGGGGAGGAGGGAGGGAGGAAUGAAGGGAGAAGGUGGAGGGAAAAGGAAGAGGAGGAAGAGGAAGGAGGGAGGAGGAGGAGCAGAAGUAGGAGGAAGAAGCAGGUGAAGGAGACAAAGAUGGAGAGAGGGGGAAGGCUACAUUCAUUAGGCCAUGUGGAUCCUGAGCACAUGGUCAGGAAAAGUGGGUCCUGAGGACAGGCUGAAGGAGCAGAAAUAGGGCAAGACUCAAAUAGCAAGCACUUGGGGAGCACAGCUGGGGAACUGAGCAGUCUAGCAUAUAGAAAAAUAGAUUAGUAAUUUGCCUAGUUAUUGAGCUAAAGCUGAUUUUAAAAAAAAUCCAUGGGACUCUGCUUCAAUUAUUGGGGGGCUUUCCUGGUCAUGUUAAUAACUAGUAGCUUAUUAAAAUCCAUUUAUAAGUUCCUUUUCAAAAAUAUGAAUUUAUAUAAGUAAAUAUGACAUAAAUCACAUAUGCAUAUACAUUCAGAUAAGGGAUAUGAAUAGAUAGUAGCAAAAAUAAGUCUAUUAAGGAGGGACUUAGCAAAGGUAAAACAAACAAAAGAAAACACUGAAUUUACAGGAUUGAAAAUUUGCAAGUUUAAUUCAUUCUUGUGAACUAUGUGAACUUCACCCAGUUUGAGUUUCAUCUGCCAAGGAGAGGGGUGUUACGUUCUUUGCAUUGUACCGGAUCCUAUCUUUAUAUUUAGGGAAGGGUGAUUUAAAAACAAACAAACAAACAAACAAGCAAACAAACAAACAAAAAACCCCAAAACCUUAAGUGGAAUUCUCAUAAAUGAAGCAUUACAUUA